GAUGAACGCUGACAGCAUGCUUAACACAUGCAAGUCUACUUGAACUUCGGUUUGGGUGGCGGACGGGUGAGUAACGCGUACAGAACUUGCCUCACAGUUAGGGACAACAUUUGGAAACGAAUGCUAAUACCUGAUAUUAUGAUUUUAGGGCAUCCUAGGAUUAUGAAAGCUAUAUGUGCUGUGAGAGAGCUUUGCGUCCCAUUAGCUAGUUGGAGAGGUAACGGCUCACCAAGGCGAUGAUGGGUAGCCGGCCUGAGAGGGUGAACGGCCACAAGGGGACUGAGACACGGCCCUUACUCCUACGGGAGGCAACAGUGGGGAAUAUUGGACAAUGGACCAAAAGUCUGAUCAAGCAAUUCUGUGUGCACGAUGACGUUUUUCGGAAUGUAAAGUGCUUUCAGUUGGGAAGAACAAAAUGACGGUACCAAAAGAAGAAGCGACGGCUAAAUACGUG
rnacentral:rRNA from 1 species